GGCCAGCUCCUGAGGUUGCUAUGAUGCCUGAACCUGUGUUUAUGGCUGUUGCUGUUCCUUGUCCGGAGUGGUCUUCCAGAUAAGGGAAUCCUCCAAGCUUUCUUAGAAACUGAUCAAUAACAAGGAGCCUAUUGGACCCUUCUUCUGAACACUUCAACACUUGUAGGAGCCAUCACACCAUUGUGAAGCACAGGGAAUGUCUUUGCCUUAACAGACCCUGCUUUGCAAAGCCACAAGCUGUCUUGGCCCCUUCAGACAUGGAACUCGCUCAUGUUCAUUUGACUUUCUAUCAGGAUCUGGAAAUCUUUUCAGAACCACCAGGCUCCUCACUGGUAAGUCUGGCCUCCUUUGCUGUGUCACAGUUACAGAGCAAACUGGAUCCAUCUCCCAGAUUAGCUGUUGCAUCUUCUCCAUUCACCAGUCCCUCCCGGUCUUUGUCUUAUUUGCCAGCUCCAUCAGCAGGUAACGGUUGUUAAAGAGUGAAGGGCCAAGAACCUAGCUCAUGAGACUGGUUGAUGCCCCAAAGACAGUUUGAUUUUAGGUCCUAUCAGUUGGUAAAAUAGUCCAACAGUACAAUUUACAUGCGCACCGUUACCUUUACUAAUGAAACUUGUACAUGCUCCAAUAUUAUAUAAUUAUUUGGAUAAGGUCUGGUUUUAAUAAGUUCAUGAUAAUUUCAAUAUAAUUCUAUUUUUUCCCCUUUAAUUCUUAGUAGAGUCCCCAAAUAACCAUUCUGUUAUUUUGUUCAGAUUGACGUCAGGCUCAUAGGCCUAUAUUUAUUCAUGUCAUCUUAGUUACUCUCUUUAAGUGCUGGCACAACAUUAUCUUUCCUUCACAUCUCUAACUUCUCUAGUGUUCCAAGACUUAUUCAAAAUCAGCAGCAGGGGUUCAGUGAACAUCUUUGCCUCUUGGAUUAAAAUUAUUCAAGAACUGCCAAUUAAGCAUUUCUACAUUCAGAAAUUAUUGCUAUAAAAGAAAGGGUUGUUUUUCUUACAUAAGAUGCAAUACAUUAUCUGACUUUUCCCAAAAUACAAGUGGGAAAUAUUUACUCAACAUUUUUACCUCUUUGGGUCUAUUGUUGGCAGUCUUAGCAUGUCCGUUUAGAAGCAAUGUGUUACCUUUGUGAUGACCCUAUUUGUAGCUAACAUACUUUUAAAACUCCUGCUGACCAUAGAUGUUUGCUUGUGUCCUUUUCUUACCAUACUGCUAUAAUUUACAGCCUGUAAUUCACAUUCAUUAACACUCGUACUCUUUUUUUUAAUUAGUGACUUCUCUGGACGAAAAUCUUUAUUAUGGGUUCUCAACUUCCUAGACACCAAAAGACCCACCUCAGAGAGACCUCAUAUGAAUAGCCAUCAAUAAAAAAAGCUUUGACCAAGCUCAAGCCCUAUCAGACACCAAUAGCUACUUAGUGGUGAAAGAAGUUCUUUACCAACCAGGAUACAUCAGCCAUCACUUAUCUGCUAUCAUUCAGCAGUUGUCAGUCAUCUGCGUUUCUGUCCUUAAAUUCUUCCUCGUAAUAUUUUCAGUUUUCUGAAGCCAGGCUUUUCAAAAUACCUAAUCCUGGCAGAGGCCAUAUGAUGAUGAUCCCAAUAAACAUGAUCCAACCAUGAUGGCUUGUAUCUGUGCAGCUACUACUUUGCACUCUCUGAUCUGCUAGUAAGCUGUAAAGAAAAAAAUGUUCAGAUGGUAUGUUACACACCAGAUUUUACACAAUACAUAUAAUACACUGCAUGUAUUAAAGUCAUGCUAUGUCUUCUGUAUGUCUGGACAUGCCAUAAAUGUGUUGAUAGAUGCAAUGGGAGGUAUCUUGUACUACACGGGCUGUAGCGCCCAUGCCAAUGCAGUUUUUUGUCCCUAUGCAUCAUAAUCCAGGGAGCUGAACUCAUUCUUUCCUGUUGGCAUUGAAGUUAAUACUGGUGGUACCCAUCUCAAACACCAUUUCUGAGGACACUAAUCCAUAACAAUAUAAGAAAAUUUGUUCCAGAGUUGCUAAAAACUUGAAAGCAGAUCAGAACACUUUUCACAAACAGUGCAAGUCCUCCUUGGCUUUUGCACAGCUGAUCCUCCUGAAAUACAUAAUAAAGAUUGAUUUAAACAUUCCAGCCAUGGGAAUCUGCCUUCCAGAUUUCAGCUGUAGCAACCAGGUCAAGCUUAUGUUUCUAAAGGAGCAAAAAUUGUUCCCAAUUUGCUAUACAAGCAAUUACAGAAUGUUUUCUCUUGGUCUAUAAGGAUGUUUCUCCUGAACUUUCUGAUUUUGUGCUGGAAGAAUGGUCAAGUGUUCUCUUGCUUGUCACCUCUUCGCUCCAGUAUGGCAGGAAGGUCAGUUCCUUCCUGCGAUGGAGGCUUCUCAGCCCACUGCAGCCCCUGCACCAGAGAAUAGAACCAGCCGAACCACAAUCGAAUGACAGCUGCUCUUGGUAUUUUAAAAUGGCCAGUGGUAAUUUUACUUAUGAAGUAAAGUUUCUAGCUGUUUCUCACGUAGCACAGGAGACAGCCUGUCUCAGUGCAGAUUGAAUUAUUAUAAUGAGGCAAUCAUCCUGUUACUGCCAAUCUACCCAUACUCUGAUGGGGUUGUGCCAAGUGAUAAACAGAGACAAUAGCAAAUGCAGCUACAAUAUUGGCUGGCUUCCUUCAAAAAGUCCCCUCAGGUCUUUACAGAGACAUGGAAAGAGAGUCUAGGUUGGGGAAUUUUUCUGUCAUAAUUAGGGUGAGCAUAAAGAAGUGAAACAUGAAGUCAUUGUUAUUUAAAUGCCUAAUUCAUUCGUUAUGUUUAUUAAGAUACUCUGGCUGGUUUUUAUACUGAUUUAACAGAAAUGUGUCAUUUAUUGAAAUUCCCACCUUUAUUUUCUUGUUGAUAUUCAUUUUUGGAUGAAAAACAUGGAAAUACUAAGUUAACCCAAAACAAACUUGUCAUCUAUUAGCAAAGGCUUAUUCCACCUUUUGUAUGUCUUUGUUGGAUGCUAAUGGUGAGACUGAGACCAGUCAUCUUAAAAAUCAUUCUCCAAAAUGAAACCAAGUUGUACUUGGGGCUGAUGGCUUGCUGUGACCACAGAGGUGGAGGUUAUUGAUGCAAGUAGACAACCAAGGCUCAGAUAAACUCAGGGCAGGAUUAAUCUCACAUGGCUUUAGGAGGCUAGAAGGAAGAUUUUGUCUUCAGUGGAGAAGAACAGGUUUUGCCAGGGCUUCAACUUUCCUUUCCUAUGGUAGGUGACCACACAGAUGUCCACAUAGGCUUCAGUUUUAAUGAACCACCAUUACUCAUCCUCAGCAACCCCAAACUGUGAGCAGCACUGGUCUCCUCAGCAGGACCGCCCAAGGAGCGGAGUCCUGUGCUGGGUGAGUCUUGCAGAGUGCAGGUUGAAGCCAGACCAUCAUUUUGCAUUCAAUGUGUGGUGAUUUCAUCAAUUUCUUUAGAUUUCAGAGUUUGAAAAGGAACAAUGCAAUUUUCACAGCUCUUCCUUUCUGACUGUCCUGCCAGCCUUGGAAUGCUCUUCAGCCAUUUGGGAAGGUAUUAUACUUGCAAAUCCAUUUAUUACUUUGACUUUGGCAUUCUCAGUAGAGCCUUGGCUGUACAUCUGAACUAUUACCCUAGCUCAUUUUACCUUCUUGUAAACUUCGCUGAAAUGUGAAGUGUUGGAUGGGUCCUGUGUAAAGCAUAUUGUCCUAUUAAAACACAUUUAAAGAGUCUUGUAAACCCUGGAGAUUAACCUCAAUGUUUAUGGAGAGUUAUAGAUGCUAAUUCUUGCAUAUUUGUCAUUCCAGAGCAUGGCCUGGUGGCAAACAUUCUUGCUACACCACAGCAUUUACGUCAAUGGGAUUUGUCCAUGCCUUGACUCCUUAGGACAGAGAAAAGAAAUGGUGGGAAAGUGGGGAAUAUGGGCAUUUGCCAUCCUGGACUACAUUAGCUGGUCAUAAAAUCUUAUAGCUAUCUCAUAGAAGGAGGGAAACAGACUGGGAAACAGCAGGAGGACCUUCCCCAGAGGACAGUUUCGGUUAAGACCAUAUUGAUAAGAGGUGGUCUUGUCCUGUUGGAAAGAUAAUAUUCUCUUUCAUUUUUUGUUAAUGUUCCUGUGAUGGGGCACAUCAGUGUAUGUUCUCCUCUCCUUUCUGUCCUGCCACACACACUGAGUUGGCAGCAGCAGCCCCACAAACUUUGAGCUUCCUCACCAGCUGUAGGCAUCUUAAUCUGUCCACCAUUCAUCAGUUUCUUCUCUUCUGGAUUCAGCAGAUUUUCUGUUUCAUGGUAGAAAAAUAAAUAAAAAAA